rnacentral:rRNA from 2 species
GAGACGCUGGCGGCGUGCCUAAUACAUGCAAGUCGAACGAACUCUGGUAUUGAUUGGUGCUUGCAUCAUGAUUUACAUUUGAGUGAGUGGCGAACUGGUGAGUAACACGUGGGAAACCUGCCCAGAAGCGGGGGAUAACACCUGGAAACAGAUGCUAAUACCGCAUAACAACUUGGACCGCAUGGUCCGAGUUUGAAAGAUGGCUUCGGCUAUCACUUUUGGAUGGUCCCGCGGCGUAUUAGCUAGAUGGUGGGGUAACGGCUCACCAUGGCAAUGAUACGUAGCCGACCUGAGAGGGUAAUCGGCCACAUUGGGACUGAGACACGGCCCAAACUCCUACGGGAGGCAGCAGUAGGGAAUCUUCCACAAUGGACGAAAGUCUGAUGGAGCAACGCCGCGUGAGUGAAGAAGGGUUUCGGCUCGUAAAACUCUGUUGUUAAAGAAGAACAUAUCUGAGAGUAACUGUUCAGGUAUUGACGGUAUUUAACCCAGAAAGCCACGGCUAACUACGUGCCAGCAGCCGCGGUAAUACGUAGGUGGCAAGCGUUGUCCGGAUUUAUUGGGCGUAAAGCGAGCGCAGGCGGUUUUUUAAGUCUGAUGUGAAAGCCUUCGGCUCAACCGAAGAAGUGCAUCGGAAACUGGGAAACUUGAGUGCAGAAGAGGACAGUGGAACUCCAUGUGUAGCGGUGAAAUGCGUAGAUAUAUGGAAGAACACCAGUGGCGAAGGCGGCUGUCUGGUCUGUAACUGACGCUGAGGCUCGAAAGUAUGGGUAGCAAACAGGAUUAGAUACCCUGGUAGUCCAUACCGUAAACGAUGAAUGCUAAGUGUUGGAGGGUUUCCGCCCUUCAGUGCUGCAGCUAACGCAUUAAGCAUUCCGCCUGGGGAGUACGGCCGCAAGGCUGAAACUCAAAGGAAUUGACGGGGGCCCGCACAAGCGGUGGAGCAUGUGGUUUAAUUCGAAGCUACGCGAAGAACCUUACCAGGUCUUGACAUACUAUGCAAAUCUAAGAGAUUAGACGUUCCCUUCGGGGACAUGGAUACAGGUGGUGCAUGGUUGUCGUCAGCUCGUGUCGUGAGAUGUUGGGUUAAGUCCCGCAACGAGCGCAACCCUUAUUAUCAGUUGCCAGCAUUAAGUUGGGCACUCUGGUGAGACUGCCGGUGACAAACCGGAGGAAGGUGGGGAUGACGUCAAAUCAUCAUGCCCCUUAUGACCUGGGCUACACACGUGCUACAAUGGAUGGUACAACGAGUUGCGAACUCGCGAGAGUAAGCUAAUCUCUUAAAGCCAUUCUCAGUUCGGAUUGUAGGCUGCAACUCGCCUACAUGAAGUCGGAAUCGCUAGUAAUCGCGGAUCAGCAUGCCGCGGUGAAUACGUUCCCGGGCCUUGUACACACCGCCCGUCACACCAUGAGAGUUUGUAACACCCAAAGUCGGUGGGGUAACCUUUUAGGAACCAGCCGCCUAAGGUGGGACAGAUGAUUAGGGUGAAGUCG